AGGUGAUGACUACUGCAAGGACCAGGAGGAGUCAGUGCUUAGAGGAGUUGCCUAUGAGAAACACUGAGGAGGGUAAGCAUCAUUCCAGCAGCUUUGACUCCUGGGAAAGAAUAUGGUUGGAUCCUUACCCUCAACUCCACUCUCCACCUCUCAACUGACCACACAUAUAAUAUAUAUACGUCCUGUCUAUCCUGUUUUUGGAAUUAGUCUGUUGCUUGGCUUCUCCCAUUUGUUGUUUUUGUCAUUAAACCCUUUUACUUUUUGGACGAUUCCAUCGCACCCAUUGAUGGAAUUGCCACCUUAGUCCCAGAGUCACAGAGCCGAAGCUACAAGAAAUAGAGAAGGCACUCUGUGCUUCAGUCAUCCUAAAUUUUGUCUCAGAGUGAUGUCCUUAAUAUUCUUGGCUCUUAUAAAUCUCUAGCUUGUUCUCCAAAGGAACUUAAAAGAACGAGAUUCAAGGGGUAAGCUCCAAGCCUGAACCAACAGCUCUUAGAGCAAGGGACUGAUCUCUGCUGGGCCCUUGUGGCUGGUUUCAGCUCCUGUUCCAAGAGGAUAAUGAAGAAAAGCUGGAUUUCAGUAAAGAAAUGGAAUCUUUAUUCAGCAAAAGAAGCCAGUAUUAAAAACCCAGAAAACUAAUCUGUUCUUUCUAUUAGAACAGAUGUAGACUCAUCAAAAAAUAUAGUUCAAAUUUAUAAAUUAAUCUGAUGGCAGUGAUGCAGAUUAAGAACUGAUGGGUUUUUCAUGGCUUUUAAAAAAUUCUUUUAAUAUGUUUAGCCAGCUCUCAAGAUCCCUGGAUAUUGCUUUCUUAUCACUGUAUUAUCUCUUGGUAUAUUGUUUUUGCAUCUUAAAUUUCAUUGUUACACCCUGACAACUUGGAAUUUGUGGUCUCAUAUCACCACUAAGUUAUGAUGGUUUUGCUGUGUGAUAUUAAUAACUUUCUCAGCAUUUGUUAAACUGAAGGACCUGCCUUUGUAUACCAAAGAGGGAAAUAAGUGAAAAUAUUCUACUGUUGUUGCUGAUAGAAAUCGACCUUUGCGUUGUGUAUUUUCUGAAGUCUUCCAGUUCUGAAGCUGUUUGUGUGUCCAAAGUGCACCAGAAACCCCAGGCUUUGGCUGAAGUUUCAUGAGGAUUACAAGAAAAUCUGCUGACCUCUGUCAGUGUAAACACAGGAAAAGUGUCAGAAAAUGUCAGGAACUACUGUGAACACAAUUGAUGAGAAAUCAGUGAAACAAAAGAAAUAUUACUAUUGAUAGUACCAUAGUACUUAUUAGCACUAUGUUUAAUGCAUGUUUUUACGUCAUCUCACUCUCAUAUCUGGCAAAUGCAUCAGGUACGUGAAAUGAGUCUCUAAUUAAAAAGAACUGCAGUGGGAUCCUGACUUCAUUAAAACUGCGCAUUUGCCUGUGUUUAGUCAUACCUGUAAGUACUUGAAGUAAGAUCCUGAUGCAGAGACACACUUCCAUCUUUGUAACCUCUUUCAGUCUGAUCUUACAGAGUUUCAAAAAAGAAACAACUGAAAAUUGAGAUGGUAUUGAUUGACGUUACAUGAUCUCCAAAGCCUUACCUUUACUGUAAAUUUGU